rnacentral:rRNA from 1 species
GACGAACGCUGGCGGCGUGCUUAACACAUGCAAGUCGAGCGGGGAUCAUUAACGGAAAGCUUCGGCCGGAAGUUGAUGAUUCUAGCGGCGGACGGGUGAGUAACGCGUGAACAAUCUGUCCCAGACAGGGGGAUAACAGAUGGAAACAUCUGCUAAUACCGCAUAAGACCACGAGCUCGCAUGGGCUUGAGGUAAAAGAAAUUCGGUUUGGGGUGAGUUCGCGUCCGAUUAGCUAGUUGGUGAGGUAACGGCCCACCAAGGCGACGAUCAGUAGCCGGUCUGAGAGGAUGAACGGCCACAUUGGGACUGAGAUACGGCCCAGACUCCUACGGGAGGCAGCAGUGGGGAAUAUUGGGCAAUGGGGGAAACCCUGACCCAGCAACGCCGCGUGAAGGAAGAAGGCCUUCGGGUUGUAAACUUCUUUACCUAGGGACGAAGAACGUGACGGUACCUGGAGAAAAGACCACGGCUAACUACGUG